AUUGCAGGAGAGAAAUGCUACUGCAUUCGCCGAAGGAGCAAGGUCCCAGGAAACUCUCAGGCAAAAGGACUGCAAU
rnacentral:ncRNA from 1 species